rnacentral:tRNA from 1 species
GUCAGUGUAGUUUAACGGUUAGAACCUAUACUUGUGGUGUAUAUGGACUGAGUUCGAUUCUCAGUAUUGACC